rnacentral:lncRNA from 1 species
UGAGGCAAAAUUAUGAUGUUAUGGACUGAGAUUGAAUUCUGGAUGCAGUCCAUAACUUUGUGAGUUCAUAGUCUGCUUUGAUUGAGAAUUGCAGCAUGUAAUCAUAUCAAGGUAGUACAAUGUCCAGGAUUUAGUGGCGAUAUACUGUACUAAACAACGAUAUGUCAUUUAUCUAGCAACCAGUGAAAGCGAUUUUGUCAUAUCUUAUUGAAAUUACUGGACAACACUUCAGGUAUGAUAAAUAUGUAUACAUGAUAUUUUUACUAUGUUAUAUCUAGAGAAAAUAUCCAACAAUUAAAAGUGACAUUCCUUUAAAAUAUUGUAUUAUAAAUAAUUUGAGCUUCAUGCAGUUACAGAACAUCCUGUAGUGUUCCUUGACCCUCAAGUUAUUUGUUGUUGUUGUUAUCAGUGAUAACAGAUAUGGAGAAUGUUGCUUGAAAACAGCUGUGAGUGUUCUGGGGACAAUCUGUAAAGAUACUGCUGAUUCAGACCGCUGUGAGCUUCCACUGGACUGCCUGCAUCUGGUCAGUCUGAUUGCAGAAACUGCCGGAAGCUCUCAUCCACAGUCUGUGAAAAGUAAGGAAAACGAAGUUCUGGAGGAGACACUUCGAACAAUGAGGGACUGGCGGCGAAAAGCAUUCCCAAGCAAAUCGGUUAACCAUGGGUCCCAUUUUACCUCAAAGAUUGAGCCUGAAAUGAAGGUAGGAAUGUUAGACUUAAAGUCAAAGCAAUGAUAACUGUGCAGUUUUAAAUCCUUAUCAGAAGAAUCAGUCAAAAUAAUUGUACAUUAGCAUAGCAUUUUGAUGUGUACAGUGAUUGUUUCACAUUCACAGAGAUUAUUUUCUCUAGGUCUGGAAAAGGUUGAUCCCAGUCACUUUUGGGAAUGAAGAAUUCACUGAACUAUGGAGAAGUACUUUCUUGAAUGAUUUUGAAGGAAAACUAAAAAAGGUAUUUAUUAUGCUUUAAAUCAAUUGUAAAAUAUAUUUAAAUUCACUGUAAACAUAUAAUACAUUUAACGGGGCA